AACGUAGACUCCAAGCGUUAUCCGGAUUUAUUGGGCGUAAAGCGCGUGUAGGAGGUACGGCAAGUCUGAUGUUAAAUCUCAGGGCUCAACCCUGAUUCCGCAUUGGAAACUGCCGAACUAGAGGACGUUAGAGGUGGAUGGAACAGCCGGUGUAGGGGUGAAAUCCGUUGAUAUCGGCUGGAACACCAAAGGCGAAGGCAUUCCACUGGGACGUUCCUGACUCUAAGACGCGAAAGCGUGGGGAGCAAAAAGG
rnacentral:rRNA from 1 species